rnacentral:rRNA from 1 species
AUUGGGACUGAGACACGGCCCAAACUCCUACGGGAGGCAGCAGUAGGGAAUUUUCGUCAAUGGGGGAAACCCUGAACGAGCAAUGCCGCGUGAGUGAAGAAGGUCUUCGGAUCGUAAAGCUCUGUUGUAAGUGAAGAACGGCUCAUAGAGGAAAUGCUAUGGGAGUGACGGUAGCUUACCAGAAAGCCACGGCUAACUACGUGCCAGCAGCCGCGGUAAUACGUAGGUGGCAAGCGUUAUCCGGAAUCAUUGGGCGUAAAGGGUGCGUAGGUGGCGUACUAAGUCUGUAGUAAAAGGCAAUGGCUCAACCAUUGUAAGCUAUGGAAACUGGUAUGCUGGAGUGCAGAAGAGGGCGAUGGAAUUCCAUGUGUAGCGGUAAAAUGCGUAGAUAUAUGGAGGAACACCAGUGGCGAAGGCGGUCGCCUGGUCUGUAACUGACACUGAGGCACGAAAGCGUGGGGAGCAAAUAGGAUUAGAUACCCUAGUAGUCCACGCCGUAAACGAUGAGAACUAAGUGUUGGAGGAAUUCAGUGCUGCAGUUAACGCAAUAAGUUCUCCGCCUGGGGAGUAUGCACGCAAGUGUGAAACUCAAAGGAAUUGACGGGGGCCCGCACAAGCGGUGGAGUAUGUGGUUUAAUUCGAAGCAACGCGAAGAACCUUACCAGGUCUUGACAUCCCGAUGACCGGCCCGUAACGGGGCCUUCUCUUCGGAGCAUUGGAGACAGGUGGUGCAUGGUUGUCGUCAGCUCGUGUCGUGAGAUGUUGGGUUAAGUCCCGCAACGAGCGCAACCCUUGUCGCAUGUUACCAGCAUCAAGUUGGGGACUCAUGCGAGACUGCCGGUGACAAACCGGAGGAAGGUGGGGAUGACGUCAAAUCAUCAUGCCCCUUAUGGCCUGGGCUACACACGUACUACAAUGGCGACCACAAAGAGCAGCGACUUGGUGACAAGAAGCGAAUCUCAUAAAGGUCGUCUCAGUUCGGAUUGAAGUCUGCAACUCGACUUCAUGAAGUCGGAAUCGCUAGUAAUCGCAGAUCAGCAUGCUGCGGUGAAUACGUUCUCGGGCCUUGUACACACCGCCCGUCAAACCAUGGGAGUCAGUAAUACCCGAAGCCGGUGGCAUAACCGUAAGGAGUGAGCCGUCGAAGGUAGGACCGAUGACUGGGGUUAAGUCGUAACAAGGUAUCCCUACGGGAACGUGGGGAUG